AUUGAACGCUGGCGGAAUGCUUUACACAUGCAAGUCGAACGAUGAACCUUAGCUUGCUAAGGGGAUUAGUGGCGAACGGGUGAGUGAUAUAUCGGAACGUGCCUUGUAAUGGGGGAUAACUAGUCGAAAGAUUGGCUAAUACCGCAUACGCCCUGAGGGGGAAAGUAGGGGAUCUUCGGACCUUACGUUAUAAGAGCGGCCGAUAUCUGAUUAGCUAGUUGGUGGGGUAAUGGCCUACCAAGGCGACGAUCAGUAGCUGGUCUGAGAGGACGACCAGCCACACUGGAACUGAGACACGGUCCAGACUCCUACGGGAGGCAGCAGUGGGGAAUUUUGGACAAUGGGCGAAAGCCUGAUCCAGCCAUUCCGCGUGAGUGAAGAAGGCCUUCGGGUUGUAAAGCUCUUUCGCAAGGGAAGAAAACUUACAUUCUAAUAAAGUGUGAGGCUGACGGUACCUUGAUAAGAAGCACCGGCUAACUACGUGCCAGCAGCCGCGGUAAUACGUAGGGUGCGAGCGUUAAUCGGAAUUACUGGGCGUAAAGCGUGCGCAGGCGGUUUGGCAAGUCAGAUGUGAAAUCCCCGAGCUCAACUUGGGAACUGCGUUUGAAACUGCCAGACUAGAAUAUGUCAGAGGGGGGUAGAAUUCCACGUGUAGCAGUGAAAUGCGUAGAGAUGUGGAGGAAUACCAAUGGCGAAGGCAGCCCCCUGGGAUAAUAUUGACGCUCAUGCACGAAAGCGUGGGGAGCAAACAGG
rnacentral:rRNA from 1 species